CAGUAGCCGCGGGAAAACGUAGGUGGCAGGCGUUGUCCGGAAUUAUUGGGCGUAAAGGGCUCGCAGGCGGUUUCUUAAGUCUGAUGUGAAAGCCCCCGGCUCAACCGGGGAGGGUCAUUGGAAACUGGGAAACUUGAGUGCAGAAGAGGAGAGUGGAAUUCCACGUGUAGCGGUGAAAUGCGUAGAGAUGUGGAGGAACACCAGUGGCGAAGGCGACUCUCUGGUCUGUAACUGACGCUGAGGAGCGAAAGCGUGGGGAGCGAACAGAAUUAGAUACCCCUGUAGUCCCUGUCUCUUAUAC
rnacentral:rRNA from 1 species